UCAUAAGGGUUUUAAUAAAGAAAUUAAUUAAGAGGCCGGAUUUACACCCAGCUUGAAUAGGAAGACACAAAGCUACACGUGGAUGGAGCAAACAUUGUACGUAUAUAACAUAGUUGAUUUGAACUAUGCUAGCUAUUCACAGAAGGACAGAUAUCGUAAACAAUACACACCAGCGUCGAAAAAGAUGAUUAACAAAAGNACAAGCUUCUUGCUGAUUUUCGUGGCAGCGGUAUUGUUUCAAAGCGCAUGCUCAACAUCACCAACCAAGCUUGUCAGAUCCACUUGCAGUAAUAUAUGUAACCGCGCACAUACAAGGUGUUUGCUGUCUGUCUGUCCCACCGACUUGGAAUGUGCUAAUGUUUGUCAAGAAUAUAUGAAUGACUGUUAUUUGAAAUGUUAUGGAAAGAAAUAAAUGUAAAAAGAUA
rnacentral:lncRNA from 1 species